UACGUAGGGUGCAAGCGUUAAUCGGAAUUACUGGGCGUAAAGCGUGCGCAGGCGGUUAUGCAAGACAGAGGUGAAAUCCCCGGGCUCAGCCUGGGAACUGCCUUUGUGACUGCAUAGCUAGAGUACGGUAGAGGGGGAUGGAAUUCCGCGUGUAGCAGUGAAAUGCGUAGAUAUGCGGAGGAACACCGAUGGCGAAGGCAAUCCCCUGGACCUGUACUGACGCUCAUGCACGAAAGCCAGGGGAGCAAACGGG
rnacentral:rRNA from 1 species